rnacentral:piRNA from 1 species
UGAAUACCUUUCUCUUGUCGAUGCUACUCUU